rnacentral:rRNA from 1 species
GAUGAACGCUGGCGGCGUGCCUAAUACAUGCAAGUCGAGCGAACAGAUAAGGAGCUUGCUCCUUUGACGUUAGCGGCGGACGGGUGAGUAACACGUGGGUAACCUACCUAUAAGACUGGAAUAACUCCGGGAAACCGGGGCUAAUGCCGGAUAACAUGUUGAACCGCAUGGUUCUACAGUGAAAGGCGGCUUUGCUGUCACUUAUAGAUGGACCCGCGCCGUAUUAGCUAGUUGGUGAGGUAACGGCUCACCAAGGCAACGAUACGUAGCCGACCUGAGAGGGUGAUCGGCCACACUGGAACUGAGACACGGUCCAGACUCCUACGGGAGGCAGCAGUAGGGAAUCUUCCGCAAUGGGCGAAAGCCUGACGGAGCAACGCCGCGUGAGCGAUGAAGGUCUUCGGAUCGUAAAACUCUGUUAUUAGGGAAGAACAAAUGCGUAAGUAACUGUGCGCGUCUUGACGGUACCUAAUCAGAAAGCCACGGCUAACUACGUG